rnacentral:piRNA from 1 species
UGAGCUAGCUUUGGGGUAUGUACCAGG